ensembl:lncRNA
GUUGGGCAACCGCAUCAUUUCAUUAUGUCUUGCUGGAUAACUCUGUGUAUGUCACAAAUUAUCUUUGUAUUCUUCUAUAUUAACGAAAAGAUCACAUAAUGUUUGUUUGUCAUGUUUUACAGCAUUCUACACAUUUUCAGUCCAAGCCUGAUGCAGAGCAGUUCUCCCGGGUUAAGGGGUCCCUGCUGCAGUUUCACCAGUAAAGAAAAUUACUUGUUACAGUUCACUUGAAGGACCACAUAAGCCAUGCAGUGGUGCAUGGAGGUAUGGAGCGCCAAGAGGACAUAAAGUGGAAGUUUGUAAGGGACAUUGGUCCAGCGUGGUACAGAGUCAUCGUGGGUUAUUCUGUGGGGAGGUGACAGGGCCUGCCGUUCUCCAGAUGGACAGUAAAAAUCAACAGAAUGCCAUCAAAGACUACCUGGAGGGAGAAUCGGAGGAUAUAUUGAAGCAAGGAAUCUCUCUGUGUAGUCUAUGUAUGUUUGUGUGUGUACUGCAUGUCAAGAACUGUUUAUCUGAUCAUUCAGCUGUUCAUUCAGCUGCUCAGACUUUAUAAUAUUUGGAGCAUACCUUUUGUUAAACAACCAGUCAAAAGUUUUUGAACAGUGAGAUUUUUUUUAUGUUUUUAAAGAAAUAUCUUCUGCUCAUCAAGCCUGCAUUUAUUUAAUCCGAAGUACAGCAAAAAC